rnacentral:rRNA from 1 species
CGGAGGGAUCAUUACUGAGUUUACAACUCCCAAACCCCUGUGAACAUACCUUUUGUUGCUUCGGCGGGAUCGCCCCGGCGCCCUGUGUGCCGGAUCAGGCCCCCGCCGCAAGACCCAAAACUCUUGUUUUUAUAGUUAUUCUUCUGAGUGGCUUUAAGCAAAAAAUAAAUUAAAACUUUCAACAACGGAUCUCUUGGCUCUGGCAUCGAUGAAGAGCGCAGCGAAAUGCGAUAAGUAAUGUGAAUUGCAGAAUUCAGUGAAUCAUCGAAUCUUUGAACGCACAUUGCGCCCGCUAGUAUUCUGGCGGGCAUGCCUGUUCGAGCGUCAUUUCAACCCUCAGGACUCUUCGGAGAACUGGCGUUGGGGAUCAGCGUAGGCGCGGGUUCGCCCGCCUGCUGGCCCUGAAAUACAGUGGCGGUCUUGCUCUGACUCCCUUGCGUAGUAACUUACCUCGCCUGUGGAAGAAAAGCCUGACCACGCCGUAAAACCCCCUACUUUUUUAUGGUUGACCUCGAAUCAGGUAGGAAUACCCGCUGAACUUAAGCAUAUCAAUAAGCGGAGGAAAAGAAACCAACAGGGAUUGCCUCAGUAACGGCGAGUGAAGCGGCAACAGCUCAAAUUUGAAAUCUGGCCUUCGGGUCCGAGUUGUAAUUUGUAGAGGAUGCUUUUGGUGCGGUGCCUUCCGAGUUCCCUGGAACGGGACGCCAUAGAGGGUGAGAGCCCCGUCUGGUUGGACACCAAGCCUCUGUAAAGCUCCUUCGACGAGUCGAGUAGUUUGGGAAUGCUGCUCUAAAUGGGAGGUAUAUGUCUUCUAAAGCUAAAUACCGGCCAGAGACCGAUAGCGCACAAGUAGAGUGAUCGAAAGAUGAAAAGCACUUUGAAAAGAGGGUUAAAUAGUACGUGAAAUUGUUGAAAGGGAAGCGUUUAUGACCAGACUUGAGCUUGGUUGAUCAUCCGGUGUUCUCACCGGUGCACUCUUCUAGUUCAGGCCAGCAUCAGUUCAUCGCGGGGGAUAAAGGCAGUAGGAAUGUGGCUCCUCGGAGUGUUAUAGCCUAUUGUGUAAUACCCUGCUUUGGACUGAGGUUCGCGCUCCG